UCUUCCUGCAAUCAGAGACCAUCGAUUACCCAGAAGUGAAUGGAGUCUGAUGAUAAGGUCUUCCUCAUCUGGGCUGAUAUUCCCUCUUUUGAUAUCAGGUCUCAAGUAAUUCAUCCAUCUUAAUCUGCAACUCUUUCCACAUCUAAGGAAUACCUGCUUUUUUAGGAAGAGAUCUCCAGUGACCUUCACCAUGAGCUUGGAUAUAGAGAGUGAGCAAUGUGUCCUCUCUUGCAGUCCAUGGACCUCUGUGUAAACCCACUUUUGAACAACAAGGAGCUCUUCCCAUCUCUCUCUCUCUUUCGUCUCUUCUCGAUCGAUCUCUGGAUUCUUAUUUAAUUAAGAUGAGAGAAGAAG